rnacentral:lncRNA from 1 species
GAAAUUUUAUUUUCAGUAUGAAAAAUAUUUUUUCAUUUAAGUACGAAGAACUCCAUAUUUUUAAUAACAUACAAGAACUCCUCUCUCUCUUUAUAUAUAUAUAUAUAUAUAUAUAUAUAUAUAUAUAUAUAUAUAUAUAUAUAUAUAUAUAUAGAGUUGAGUUGGAAUACUAUCGAUAGCAAACGGGCUCCGUUGCCAUCCAUUUGCUUUCGAUGAUGGAGCCUCCAAAUCGACGAUCGGCACGGUUAAAAAUAAUCUAUACCACUUGAAGUAUUUAGAAAUCAAAUUUCAUACUUUUCCGAUACUAUUUUCUUGUCCAUCAAGUGGGCGUAAAAAUGAAUGGCUGAAAAUGAAUAUCCUCUAAAAAGUGAUGAUACAAAUUUUGUAAUCAUGAUCGAGAGUAUAGAUCUUGUUUUAAAUAAUUUAAAGAAAUUUCUAACCAAAAUUCAAUUGAUUAGAAUAGCUUUACACCAUUAAACGAGAAAAGCCCUCAUAUCAACCAUUAAAAUUACUAAUUUUGAAACCCUUUGAUCAUUAGGUAAAUGAUGUCGAAAAGAUUUGAAAUUUAAUUUCUAAAUACUUCAAGUGAUAUAGAUCAUAUUCAACGAUGUCGAUUGUCGAUUUGAAAGCUCCAUCAUCGAAAACAAAUGGAUGGCAACGGAGCCCGUUUGCUACCGAUAGCAUUCCAGCUCAACAAGAUCUAUAUGAGUCGAGCUGGAAUACUAUCGGUAGCAAACGGGCUCUGUUGCCACCCAUUUGUUUUCAACGAUGGAGCCUCCAAAUCGACGAUCGGCACCGUUAAAAAUGAUCUAUACCACUUGAAGUAUUUAGAAAUCAAAUUUCAUACUUUUUCGAUACUGUUUUCUUGUCCAUUAAGUGGGCGUAAAAAUGAAUGGCUGAAAAUGAAUAUCCUCUAAAAAGUGAUGAUACAAAUUUUGUAAUCAUAAUCGAGAGUAUAGAUCUUGUUCUAAAUAAUUUAAAGAAUUUUCUAACCAAAAUUCAAUUGAUUUGAAUAGCUUUACACCGUUAGUGACGUGACCUGUAAUUAUUAUUUUAUUUUUUGGAAUAAACUUUUAAUGA